AUUGAACGCUGGCGGCAGGCUUAACACAUGCAAGUCGAGCGGGGUGAUGGUGCUUGCACUAUCACUUAGCGGCGGACGGGUGAGUAAUGCUUAGGAAUCUGCCUAUUAGUGGGGGACAACAUCUCGAAAGGGAUGCUAAUACCGCAUACGUCCUACGGGAGAAAGCAGGGGAUCACUUGUGACCUUGCGCUAAUAGAUGAGCCUAAGUCGGAUUAGCUAGUUGGUGGGUUCAAGGCCUACCCAGGCGACGAUCUGUAGCGGGUCUGAGAGAAUGAGCCGCAAGACUGGGACGCGGACACCGCCCGGACUCCUACGGGGGGCAGAAGUGAGGAAUAUUUGACAAUGGGGGGAACCCUGAUCCAGCCAUGCCGCGUGUGUGAAGAAGGCCUUAUGGUUGUAAAGAACUUUAAGCGAGGAGGAGGCUCUUUUGGUUAAUACCCAAGAUGAGUGGACGUUACUCGCAGAAUAAGCACCGGCUAACUCUGUGCCAGCAGCCGCCGCAG
rnacentral:rRNA from 1 species